rnacentral:lncRNA from 1 species
AUGUCUUUUAUGACGCUAUAGUCUGCUCUGUGCUGGGUAAAAAAUGCGAUUUUGAUCGUUUUGCUGCGGCCCCUUGCUGCAGCACAACGGUUUGUGUUGGCCCGAUUAGAUCACGCCUGGAAAACAGCAGGAAAAAAAGGAAUGAGGAGCUAGUAGAAAGAAGAGUAGUAGUAAGACAGGAAGUCACUUACACGAGGGAGAGGCUGCAAGGAGGAGCUCCAGGAAAGAACCAGCCAAGAUGGUGUUUUUGUUGCCCAUCAUCGCCUCAUCCUCGAUGCCACCUCUCCUUCCAUCUGUAGAUCC